rnacentral:rRNA from 1 species
UACGUAGGUGGCAAGCGUUGUCCGGAUUUAUUGGGUUUAAAGGGUGCGUAGGCGGUCUAUUAAGUCAGCGGUGAAAUACUCCAGCUUAACUGGAGAGGUGCAAUUGAUACUGGAAGACUUGAGUACUGAUGAGGUAGGCGGAAUGGACGGUGUAGCGGUGAAAUGCUUAGAUAUCGUCCAGAACACCGAUAGCGAAGGCAGCUUACUAAGGAGUAACUGACGCUGAGGCACGAAAGUGUGGGGAUCAAACAGG